UAGUCUGCAACCCGACUACAUGAAGCUGGAAUCGCUAGUAAUCGCGGAUCAGAAUGCCGCGGUGAAUACGUUCCCGGGUCUUGUACACACCGCCCGUCACACCAUGGGAGUCGGAAAUGCCCGAGGUCUGUGACCUAACCGUAAGGAAGGAGCAGCCGAAGGCAGGUCGGAUGACUGGGGUGAAGUCGUAACAAGGUAUC
rnacentral:rRNA from 1 species